rnacentral:rRNA from 1 species
UACCCGCAGCUCAAGUGGUGGUCAUUAUUAUUGGGCCUAAAGCGUCCGUAGCUGGCCUGUUAGAUGCCUGGGUAAAUCGAUGCGCUCAACGUAUCGAAUUCCGGGUAGACCGGCAGGCUCGAGACCGGGAGAGGUGUAGGCUACUCGCGGGGUAGGGGUAAAGUCCUGUAAUCCUGCGGGGAGGACCAGUGGCGAAGGCGCUACACUAGAACGGCUCUGACAGUGAGGGACGAAGCCCUGGGGCGCAAACCGG